GGCGGAUUAGUAAGUCAGCGGUGAAAGUUUGCAGCUAACUGUAAAAUUGCCAUUGAUACUGCUAGUCUUGAAUGUUUGUGAGUAGCUAGAAUAUGUAGUGUAGCGGUGAAAUGCUAGAUAUUACAUGGAAUACCAAUUGCGAAGGCAGGUUACUAACAAUGAUUGACGCUGAUGGACGAAAGCGUGGGUAGCGAACAGGAUAGAUACCCUGGUAGUCCACGCCGUAAACGAUGGAUACUAGCUGUUUGGUCGUAAGACUGAGUGGCUAAGCGAAAGUGAUAAGUAUCCCACCUGGGGAGUACGUUCGCAAGAAUGAAACUCAAAGGAAUUGACGGGGGCCCGCACAAGCGGUGGAGCAUGUGGUUUAAUUCGAUGAUACGCGAGGAACCUUACCAGGGCUUAAAUGUAGUCUGACAGGCGUGGAAACAUGCUUUUCUUCGGACAGAUUACAAGGUGCUGCAUGGUUGUCGUCAGCUCGUGCCGUGAGGUGUCAGGUUAAGUCCUAUAACGAGCGCAACCCCUGUUGUUAGUUGCCAGCGAGUAAUGUCGGGAACUCUAACAAGACUGCCGGUGCAAACCGUGAGGAAGGUGGGGAUGACGUCAAAUCAUCACGGCCCUUACGUCCUGGGCCACACACGUGCUACAAUGGCCGGUACAGAGAGCAGCCACUUAGCGAUAAGGAGCGAAUCUAUAAAGCCGGUCACAGUUCGGAUUGGAGUCUGCAACUCGACUCUAUGAAGCUGGAAUCGCUAGUAAUCGGAUAUCAGCCAUGAUCCGGUGAAUACGUUCCCGGGCCUUGUACACACCGCCCGU
rnacentral:rRNA from 1 species